rnacentral:lncRNA from 1 species
AGAACACAAACCCCUUUAUCGCCAUCGCUAGACGGAACCAAAUCUGGCCGGAAACAUGUAAUUUCGAUGACUCUUCAGUGAGUCCGGCGAAGCAGGUGUUCGAACCAGCAGCUCUCGUCCUCUAUUCAUCUUUUAAAAAUAGAAGCAGACCCCAAAACUCUCGUCUUCUUUUCAAAACUUGGGUCGUCAUUACUACGACUUUAAUUUUGGGGUUCGAGUUUGAAAUUUUGUCGAAUUUUAGGGGUUCUUGUUCUCGAUUCUCGGUUCUUGUUCGAUGAGUGCCUGCGUUAAGGCUCUCCGGUCUGAUUGAGGUCAGUUCGAGAUGGUCUGUUGGUUUUGGUCGGGGUUCAAUCAAGUCCGAGUUUGUUGAUUUGAGUUCGUCGAGGUCUGGUCAAGGUUCAGCCGUAUUUUGCGGUUGUUCGACGAGCUGUCCGUAUGUAAUUACGAAAGGUUCUGUUCGAGUUUUCUCCAGUGCAUUUCCUGUUUGGCCGAUUGUAUUUCCGACUGAAGCCUAUUUUGUCAAUCAAAGUUUUUUGAGAUGACUAAGGUGCCGAUUCAAGUUUCUGUCCGCUGUUCGUUACAUUUUCGAAUUCAAAAUAGCGAAGCAAUCAAUUUUCUAGCUACAUUGAGGUCUAAUUCUCUCAUCCUUUAUCCAUUUUAUUCAAAGCUUAAUGUUAAAUUUUUUUUGGUGAUAUGAUUAUGUUAUUUGUGUGAUUAUUCUCCGUAGUUUCAAAUUUACUUACUGGUUAUUGCUGAAUAUGAUUUUAUCACAUUAUAGAAAUCGGGUUGUUGGGUAAAAGUAAAAG